GGAUUAGAUACCCUGGUAGUCCACGCCGUAAACGAUGGAUACUAGGUGUAGGGGGUAUCGACCCCCCCUGUGCCGGAGUAAACACAAUAAGUAUCCCACCUGGGGAGUACGGUCGCAAGACUGAAACUCAAAGGAAUUGACGGGGGCCCGCACAAGCAGUGGAGUAUGUGGUUUAAUUCGAAGCAACGCGAAGAACCUUACCAGGGCUUGACAUCCUGCGGCGGCACUGGAGACAGUGCCAUCCUACGGGACGCAGAGACAGGUGGUGCAUGGUUGUCGUCAGCUCGUGCUG
rnacentral:rRNA from 1 species